rnacentral:tRNA from 1 species
AAUAAAAUGGCUGAAAGUAUAGGCGAUAAAUUGUAAAUUUAUUUAUGAAAAUCAAAUUUUCUUUUAUUA